rnacentral:rRNA from 1 species
GACGUAGGGCGCGAGCGUUGUCCGGAUUUAUUGGGCGUAAAGAGCUCGUAGGCGGCUUGUUGCGUCGACUGUGAAAACCCGCGGCUUAACCGCGGGCUUGCAGUUGAUACGGGCAGGCUAGAGUUCGGUAGGGGAGACUGGAAUUUACGGUGUAGCGGUGAAAUGCGUAGAUAUCGUAAGGAAGACCAGUGGCGAAGGCGGGUCUCUGGACAGUUCCUGGCGCUGAGGCACGAAGGCUAGGGGGAGCAAACGGGG